rnacentral:misc_RNA from 1 species
CAGCCGCGUAAUUCCAGCUCCAAUAGCGUAUAUUAAAGUUGCUGCAGUUAAAAAGCUCGUAGUUGAAUUUCGGGACUAAUAUGUCGGUCGUGCCUCGGUACGUACUGGCUUAUUGGUUUCUCCUUUCUGAAGAACCAUGAUGUCAUUUAUUUGGUGUCGUGGGGAAUCAGGACUGUUACUUUGAAAAAAUUAGAGUGUUUAAAGCAGGCUCACGCUUGAAUACAUUAGCAUGGAAUAAUGAAAUAGGACGUUUGAUUCUAUUUUGUUGGUUUCUAGGAUCGACGUAAUGAUUAAUAGGGAUAGUUGGGGGCAUUAGUAUUCAAUUGUCAGAGGUGAAAUUCUUGGAUUUAUUGAAGACUAACUACUGCGAAAGCAUUUGCCAAGGAUGUUUUCAUUAAUCAAGAACGAAAGUUAGGGGAUCGAAGACGAUCAGAUACCGUCGUAGUCUUAACCAUAAACUAUGCCGACUAGGGAUCGGAUGAUGUUAAUUUUUUAAUGACUCAUUCGGCGCCUUACG